GAAGGGUGCAAGCGUUACUCGGAAUUACUGGGCGUAAAGCGUGCGUAGGUGGUUCGUUAAGUCUGAUGUGAAAGCCCUGGGCUCAACCUGGGAAUGGCAUUGGAUACUGGCGAUCUAGAGUGCGGUAGGGGGCAGUGGAAUUCCCGGUGUAGCAGUGAAAUGCGUAGAGAUCGGGAGGAACAUCUGUGGCGAAGGCGACUGCCUGGACCAGCACUGACACUGAGGCACGAAAGCGUGGGGAGCAAACAGGAUUAGAUACCCUGGUAGUCCACGCCCUAAACGAUGCGAACUGGAUGUUGGGUGCAACUAGGCACUCAGUAUCGAAGCUAACGCGUUAAGUUCGCCGCCUGGGGAGUACGGUCGCAAGACUG
rnacentral:rRNA from 1 species